GGUACCUUUCUAUGGAGAGAUUAUGGACGUUUGCUGGUGAUGGUGGAUGGCGUGUGAGGCUCCUCUAUAAACAUUUGUGAACCACGUGGGAUGAAUUGGAGGGAUACAGGCAUGGAUGACCUGUAAUGCUUGCAUCCAGUUUCUCUGUCCUUUAGACUGCCGAGAGGGGACUGGCCAUCUACCUCUCAUAGGCAAUGCUGUCCCUUUGAUCCUGCAGGCCAACAGCUCCCUCUGGUGGUCUCUAGUGGAAGUCUCGACUGUAAGGGGCUUCUGUCUCCUGGGAGGUGGAUGGAGUGGAGAAGGCGAGAUCAGCCGUGGUUCUAGUGGACUCUGCACAGCGCUCCGCACCGUUCAGAUCCCAUAUUUGCCUGAGUGGGGGAGAGGGAACUUGGGAGAGCGUCAGUGAGCCUUGUUACUGUGAUAAAAUAAAUGUCUGGCAAAAACAAAAGAAGACAGUCUUUUGGGGGUUUCAGCCUGUGAUGGGCGAGUUCCAUCGCUUCUGGACCCAUGAUGGAGGCAGCACAUCAUGGUGGAGAGGGCACGGUACAGGCGGCAGAGAUGCUCAUCUCAUUGAGGCAGGGAACAGGUAAAGGGUCCAGGAGACAAGAUGUACCCUUCAAAGGCAUGCCCUGGUGACCUAUGUCCUUCAGUUACACCCUAGCUCCUAACAGGCCAUUCAGUAUCAGAGGGCUGCUCAAUCCUUUGCCCUCAUGAACCAGGAACCUCUCACUAGCACCCCCAACUGGAGCCAAACCUUCAUUGCAUGAGCCUAUUAGGGUUACACUGGAUACACAAACAGGAACAGAGUGCAAGCCCUAAGCCCCACUGCAGCCUUCACUGGCUUGUGACUUUAGAGGCACCUCAUGAAGUUUUACCUUGGUCAAGGUACUGUGCUGAAGGCUGUAACAGAGUCUACUAAAUUAAACACACCCGUUCUUCCCUCUAGUCUGAGGCGCACCCACCAUGUGUUGCUGUGUAGUUGCUUCUAGAUGACACGUGUGCAGAAAUGCAUCU
rnacentral:lncRNA from 1 species